GAGUUUGAUCGUGGCUCAGAACGAACGCUGGCGGCAUGCCUAACACAUGCAAGUCGAACGGGAUCCUGGUUUCGGCCAGGUGAGAGUGGCGGACGGGUGAGUAACGCGUGGGAACCUGCCCAAUGGUCUGGGAUAACCGCGGGAAACUGCGGCUAAUACCGGAUAAGCCCGAGAGGGGAAAGAUUUAUCGCCGAUGGAGGGGCCCGCGUCCGAUUAGGUAGUUGGUGAGGUAACGGCUCACCAAGCCGACGAUCGGUAGCUGGUCUGAGAGGAUGAUCAGCCACACUGGGACUGAGAUACGGCCCAGACUCCUACGGGAGGCAGCAGUGGGGAAUAUUGGACAAUGGGGGCAACCCUGAUCCAGCAAUGCCGCGUGAGUGAUGAAGGCCUUAGGGUUGUAAAGCUCUUUUGGCGGGACGAUGAUGACGGUACCCGCAGAAUAAGCCCCGGCUAACUUCGUGCCAGCAGCCGCCGUAAG
rnacentral:rRNA from 1 species